rnacentral:rRNA from 1 species
AUGCAAGUCGUACGAGAGUUUUCGGACUCUAGUGGCGGACGGGUGAGUAACACGUGAGAAUUUGCCUUUAGGAGGGGGAUAACAAUCGGAAACGAAUGCUAAUACCCCAUAUGCUUUUGAGUGAAACGGAUUUAUCCGCCUAAAGAGAAGCUCGCGGCUGAUUAGCUUGUUGGUAAGGUAAGAGCUUACCAAGGCGACGAUCAGUAUCUGGUUUGAGAGGACGAUCAGACACACUGGAACUGAGACACGGUCCAGACUCCUACGGGAGGCAGCAGUGGGGAAUUUUCCGCAAUGGGCGAAAGCCUGACGGAGCAAUACCGCGUGAGGGAAGACUGCCUAUGGGUUGUAAACCUCUUUUUUCAGGGAGGAAUAAAAUGACGUGUACCUGAAGAAUAAGCAUCGGCUAACUCCGUGCCAGCAGCCGCGGUAAGACGGAGGAUGCAAGUGUUAUCCGGAAUCACUGGGCGUAAAGCGUCUGUAGGUGGUUUAAUAAGUCAACUGUUAAAUCUUGAGGCUCAACUUCAAAACCGCAGUCGAAACUAUUAGACUAGAGUAUAGUAGAGGUAAAGGGAAUUUCCAGUGGAGCGGUGAAAUGCGUAGAUAUUGGAAAGAACACCGAUGGCGAAAGCACUUUACUGGGCUAUUACUAACACUCAGAGACGAAAGCUAGGGUAGCAAAUGGGAUUAGAUACCCCAGUAGUCCUAGCCGUAAACUAUGGAUACUAGAUGUUGAACAGAUCGACCUGUGCAGUAUCAAAGCUAACGCGUUAAGUAU